ensembl:lncRNA
AUGGAAUGUCCCGCAGACCGUCUCACACAGUGUCUCUUGUACUGUGUCUCUCAUAUCUCAUUCACUGCCCCACAGAGCGUCUCACACAGUGUAUCUCAUAUCUCAUUCGCUGUCUCUCAUAUCUCAUUCACUGCCCCACAGACUGUCUCUCGCACUGUACCACAGACCAUCACACACACUGUCUCUCAUAUCUCAUUUACUGGCCCACAGACUGUCUCUCGCACUGUCUCUCAUAUCUCAUUCACUGUCUCUCAUAUCUCAUUCACUGUCCCACAGACUGUCUCUCACACUGUCUCUCAUAUCUCAUUCACUCUUCCACAGACUGUCUCUCACACUGUCCCACAGACUGUCUCACACACUGUCUCUCAUAUCUCAUUCACUGUCCCACAAACUGUCUCUCACACUGUCCCACAGACUGUCUCACACACUGUCUCUCACACUGUCUCUCAUACUGUCUCCUACUCACAGAAUACAGAACAGAAAAAGCAACGUAAAAGAUUUCCUUUGAGUUUAUUUGCCGUUGUACUGUUGGAUAAUCCUGGUGUUGGUGAUCGAUUCUUCCGCCUUCUAACGUGGGACGUGCGAUUAGGACACUGCACAAUGUCUUGUUUGAGUUUUUUGCACAGUAUCGCCUGUAUUGGUGGGGUUAGCAAUAGAACGUCUUGUAGAGGCCGUACGCACUGAUCCGGAGCGCUUAGCACUUUUCAAAAAGGGCACAAAGCAGCACAAAACGUAUUUGUAUGCUGUUACACAACCUAUGCAAUCUUUCCGAGCUGAGUUAUAAAGCUUAUUUGUGCGUUCUUUACAUUCUACAAGUGAUUUCUCUCUUCACGAGGAAUGCUUGUGCAGCCACUGAUGCUUCUACUUUCCAAUAGUCUCCAUUAGGAUCCACUUAUCCAUCUUAUCCAUUUCUCAACUAUUCAUAAACUCGGUUCAAAGAGGGGGAUGAUAUGUGGCUGAACUUGUCUAGCUAUAGUACUGCCCUGUCAUUUUAACAACAAUCUGUGUUUUGAUAACUAUGCUGAUGUGAUGCAACAGCCUUCAAUUAGAGGUGUGAAUGUAUGUGGUGGUUGCUGGUCCCUGGCCACACACACACCUACUCUCACUUCAUGUUUUUGCCACCAUCAUCUCACCUCUUCGACUUGGGGCCUCAUUGUUUUCCAACAACAACAAAACUCAUUGAGCAAAACAAACGUGUGGUUUGCUAAUGAUGUGAAUAACGACAUAACAAACCCAGAGAGUCCAUGUUUAAUGAGGAACAAGAAACAAACAAGACACCUCAGUUGUAUUCUGUCUACUCACUCACUCGAUGCAUUCUAAGCCAAAGGUUUUCUAAUGUGUAAAAUGUUUAUAUGCUUAGUACAAAGAAUGCUUACAUUUCCAUCAUGGUGUUGUGUAACUACACGUAUCCACAUAAGAGAUAAAUCAUUUUAACAUUCUAUAAAGGUAAGUAAAGGUUAACAGAUGUAAAGGGAACCAAUGGAAGCUAAAAUACAAUUUUUCUGUACAGAAAAAAUCAAAAGUAAACGUGUUCUAUUCAUUUUUACCAUUUAAGUGUAGAAAAUGGACAGAAGCUUUCUGCAACUAUGUCCUGUGUUCUGUUAACACUACUAAGUUGUUAUUCGAAUGGCGCGAGAAAGAGACAGCAAGCUCUUGUUGACUGAAUUUGUUUUUGAAUAAUUUCUUUGAGUGUAAAGUGGUCACCAGUCCAAUGUACCCACGUACACAGACUCUAGUUCUGAUGCAUACCUGACAGAUACGGAGCAGUCGCAAUUUUCUGUGACUUGGUGUAAAGCCAAGAUAAGAGCUUUAUAUCAAUUUAUUUGUGUGCUUCAAUUAAUCUAAUUAAGUGCAAACUGUCCUUGUGUUACAAUGUGUUUCAAGAAAUUAAAUUCUUUAAAGAAGAAACAUUGACAUGCUCUAAAUGCUCUCAACAGAUAUUUUCUCCCCCUAUAUUUUUAUAUUACCAGACUGCAGAGAAUCCGGCCUGCCGGGGGUCCGGUGCGGCCCACCGGAUGACUUUCCUAUUGUGAGAGAGACAUAAAUUGCAUUUCUAUAAAAAUAGCUGCUAUUCCUACAAAGUCCACUUGGGGUCGCACUCUGAGUGAGCACAUGUGUCAGACCGGGGGGACCAGGCCGUUCACCAACGCGGUGCCAGUAGAUCCCUUCCAUUGGAAAUGAAUCACGUCAGGUCACCACGCUGCCCGAGCGGGAGGGGGGUGGAUCGCCAGUGAAAAGUGGCUUGCGAGCCAGUGUGGGGACCCCUGUGACCUUUUUUUAACACUGCGUUACAUCCAGGCAGCAGCGCCCUCUUGAAGAUGACUGUCCCCCCUGUCGACCGGCAGCGGCGCCACACAAUCAAUGAUCAAGUACUCAAAUGGCUG